UUGGGAAAUUUGGAAAAAGUUGACAUUGCAGUGUCGCCCAUCCACCGCAAGAGAGAAGUAUACAUCUGACCAAACAGCAGUGGACACAAAGCUGACCAGCUCACGGACGUACAACUGUUUCAGGGCAGCCCAGAGCCAAGGACACCUUGCCAUGGCAAAAAAAACAAAUGCAGAGACAACUGUCCCUGAGGUCAGAACAGGUGCUGCGGGACAGGCCAGAGUCCGCCGGGACAGCUGUACUAUUCCUGUCCAGAACAGAGCCGGCUGACUGCGGAUCCACAGAGACUAAUGACAGAUGGACAGAUUUAUUCACUCCGAUGAGCAAUUUCCACACACACAGACUCGUGGAAAAUCAUGCAGCUGCAACACCCCGCGCCAAUUAACAUGACUGCGACCUCACACAUCCGGGUCAGUGCAUCCGAGCAGGGGAACAAAGGCAGAGCUGGUCCCACAAUGUGAGUUCCCAAUUACCCUUGAGUGAGAUCCAGAGA